GAUGAAGAACGCAGCGAAGUGCGAUAAGUAAUGUGAAUUGCAGAAUUCCGUGAAUCAUCGAAUCUUUGAACGCAUAUUGCACUUUCUGGUAUUCCGGAAAGUAUGCCUGUUUGAGGGUCAGUUAAAUAAAAAUCGGUGUUGUUGCUACCCGUAGUGGCGUUAAUGCAUCGGAAUUGAGUUGUCUUUACCUUUUUUGGUUAAGUGACUUAAAAUUAUGUACGAUUUUUUGAACGUAUUUAAUUAUUUACGUAUGUUCAUAAUAUCAAAUAUUAGGCGCGGUCAUACUCAUGAUUUUCGCGUCUAUAAUUCUUUCAUUUUUUGACCUCAAAUCAGGUAAGAAUACCCGCUGAACUUAAGCAUAUCAAUAAGCGGAGGA
rnacentral:misc_RNA from 1 species